CCUACGGGAGGCAGCAGUGAGGAAUAUUGGUCAAUGGACGAGAGUCUGAACCAGCCAAGUAGCGUGAAGGAUGACUGCCCUAUGGGUUGUAAACUUCUUUUAUAUGGGAAUAAAACGUUCCACGUGUGGGAUUUUGUAUGUACCAUAUGAAUAAGGAUCGGCUAACUCCUUGCCAGCAGCCGCGGUAAUACGGAGGAUCCGAGCGUUAUCCGGAUUUAUUGGGUUUAAAGGGAGCGUAGGUGGAUUGUUAAGUCAGUUGUGAAAGUUUGCGGCUCAACCGUAAAAUUGCAGUUGAAACUGGCAGUCUUGAGUACAGUAGAGGUGGGCGGAAUUCGUGGUGUAGCGGUGAAAUGCUUAGAUAUCACGAAGAACUCCGAUUGCGAAGGCAGUUCACUGGACUGCAACUGACACUGAGGCUAGAAAGUGUGGGUAUCAAACAGGAUUAGAUACCCCUGUAGUC
rnacentral:rRNA from 1 species